rnacentral:lncRNA from 1 species
CCUGAGGUUUUAUCAAUUAAGGCCUGUGUAAAGCUUGGGUCCCCUAGGUAUGCUCUGCAGAUUGUUCUAUGGAGCACUACAGUUCUAUGUCUUUCCCUGAGCACCCAAGUUUGUAUUGGUAGUUCUUUGGUGCUGCACACUCUUUGCAGGAUCAUGCUUGGGUAGUGAAGUGCUCUUAAUGCUGUGGCCACUGGAGGGAGAAGUGAAUACUACUUUCAUGGGAAGAAUCUUUUUCUGCUUAGAGUCUUGUCUUAAAACUCAACUGUUCUUUCCUCAAGCUUCAGCACUUCCUGUGGAUCAACAUUAGCUCAGAUACCUUGGGGUUCCUUCUUUUGAGGUGGUAUGAAGCGGUCUUGCAUUAUAUCAUAGGAUGAAGAGGAAAGAUAUAAACAAGUGUUUACUUAUGCAAUGAAGUAUUUAAACGUUUAAAGAACUAUAAAAUGGCCUAACCCUGAGAACUUGAGACUACCUAAAAUAAAUGCUAAUAAAAUAUUAAAGGACAGAUCAAAUACAUCAAAAGUCUAAAAGAAGUUCAUCACACUGUAGAAAAACUUCGAUGAAGAAAGAACAGUGACUUGGAACAAGAAGAGAAAAACUUCACAGGACUAAAGAAAUAGAAGAACACACAUAAAUGAUUGUAAAUUGCAAUCAUGUAGAAGAACAUAAUACAAUAAGUAUGUUAUAAUGUGAUUUUAUUAUAAUAUACAUUACAUAAUAUAUACAUGUUUCAUAUAAUACAGUUAUAAACAUGUAAUAUGUGUAAUACAAAAUGUGAUAUAUAUUAUGGUAUGUACUUUAUUAUAAUAUAAUAUGUGAGCCCUGAAAUAAAUAGAAAUCAUCAUUGCACAUUACAUUUACAUAUUGCACCACUGGAUACAAAUAUACUCUCAUAAUCAAAAGAAUCUAGUUUCUCAUACAUUUAGCUGUUUGAGUACCAUUCACAAUUUCCAGGGACAGAUUUUGACUUUAUCUAUUCAGACCUUUAAAAACCCGUCGAGUGUGGACAAUUCAAAAGUGUAAUUCUUGGAAUCACAUAGUGUAUCUAAGAAACAUUAGGUAUUUAAUCUUGCUAAUAGUAAACUUUAUGGAUAUGUUACUAAAAUUCAUUUAUAUUUUAUUAAUAAUUAUUAGGAUCUUGAAGAAUAAUGUGCAUUAUGUCAG